UGGCGCGGGCCGAGCGGGCCGCCGAGAGCCCGGCCGCCGAGGGGGGCGCACUUCUGAGCGGAAAGGUCUGAGUCUUGUCUCCUCAAGCGUAGGGGACAGAAGGACCCGGAAGUAAGCGUCAGGGAUGGAAAUGAAUUGCAGUGUGGCGCUCUCACGGCACCCUUUCCUCAGUUGUAGCGGGGUGGGCCGCACAGGUGUUCCUGCUGUUUUACUGAAAUGAAAUAGGCCUUUAUUGAAACCGUCUAUCCUGGGAGGCAGUUUGGCUGUGGAAGAAUAGACUUUUGGUUUCAGAUAUACUUCAGCUCAAAUGGACUUUGGAGGGCGCUGCUGUCACUGACAGUCUCGAAGAGCCUGCUGCAGGUGAAAGGUGAAAACGGAAGGCAGCCUGCUACAGUAUAUCAGGUUUACACCACCAUUCGGGAAGAACUCAGAUGAAACAGUCCGACUGUUCAGAAACACUGGACUCCUAGAUCUUCACUCAGAUUUGGAAUCAGCAAAGCCACGUCCAUUCUCCUGGGGAGAAAACAAGCGUUCUGCAGGCAAGCACUGGCUCAUCUGAACCUUCAAGAUCUCAAAGGGAGGACCUGAGAUGUAUGUAAGCAGAAGCCGCCGACCAACUUGGUGCCUGGGAUUGCCUCGCUCGUGGAUGUAGAACCUGGAACCGCGGGAGGGUGAGCGCUAAUGAGAGUCCUUUGGGGAUGCCGUGGGGU